GGGUACAUAGUUCAGUGGUAGAACGCUCGUCACAAUUGCCCCAGGUAUUCCCCACGGUAUUCCCCCAAUUCUUUAGCUUGGUGGCGAGAAACGUUGGUUCGAUUCCAGCUAUACUCC